AUCUCAAAAUUAUUAUUUUAUCCUAGAUUAUUUACAAACGAAACGGUCCCUUAAUUAAUUCCCCCCCUCUCGCCUCUUUCUUCUAAUAAUUUUAUUUUAGGGAAAGCAGUGGAAAGCUUGGUAUAUGGGAGAGUUAAGAAUGCAAUGAAAAAGUUAGAUGAAUUUGUGGAUCGGUCAUCAAAAGGAGUGGGACUUGAAGAGAAGAGCAGUGAAAUUGGUGGUGUUAAUGGUGAAGAAUGGGAUUGGGAGCGAUGGAAAAAGCAUCUUACUGAGGUUGAAGAGGAAUAACGAUUGGUUUCUGUUUCAAAGGCAAGUGGCAGUAUCAUGAGUGAGUUCGUACAAUAUGGAGAACGAUAAUUGGAUCAUUAAGUCGGGGAAGGCAGGGACAAAUUUGAAGUCGAGGAAGACGAUGAAGUGUUUCUGCUGGCACGAACAAUUACAGAUAGACGACGUGGUUCCAUCCGCUGACUCCCUUGAAUGCAAGGAUUACACAGCAAGUCUCCAAUCAUCAAGAGCUAGAGAAGCUGAACAAAAUCUAGAUACCAGCUUUAUUGAAGAAGCUGAGUCAUCUUUGCGCGAGUAUGGUGCUUUGAAUUAUGAGAUCCACAGUGUGCUAUCGCUGCAGGAGGAAGAUAACUUUCUUCAAGCUAUCUCAAAUAUGUCAAGGUUGAGACGCCCAAACAUUGUUCAAUUGAUAGGAUAGGCAACGUCUUCUGGUUUAUGACCAUGUCACAAAUGGUAGCCUGCAUGAUGUGCUGCACUUUGUUGAUGACAGGAGUGAAUUGCUUACUUGGAAUGCCCGAGUUAGAGUAGCUCUUGGCACUGCUCGAGCUUUAGAGUGCUUGCAUGAAGUCGGUCUACAUUUUGUUGUACAUAGAAACUUCAAAUCCACAAAUAUUUUACUGGAUGAAGAGCUCAAUCCCCAUUUAUCAGAUUGUGGGUUAGCAGCUUUGACUCCAAACACCAGCACUAAGCCACACCAAACCUCACCCGUAAUUGAUCAAAAGAAAAGACAAAUGACCACAAAGCUGCUAGGCUUUACUUAACUAUAUGUUUACAGAAUAUCAUCCUAAAGUUCUAGAGGCAAAUAGAAGCAAAGCUUCACAUUAUUGGGGAAUAUUUCUUCCAAAUGUGGUAUUUUUGUUGAGAUUAAUAAAGGAAGUUCCUCUGCAGCCCUUCGAUAGUAAAUAUCUACAUCAUACAUUUUUUCUUUUCAAAAAUUGGGAGUAGGGGAAGGAAAAAUGGAGGAGGGGAUUUCUAGAUAGAAAAUUUGAGUUCAGAUUACCAACCGACUAACUGAGGUACUAAGAUUUCCAUUUGUUCCUAUACCCAAACAAAAUGACAAAGGAACAAAAACAGCUACAAAUCCAAAAAUUAGGCUUAGUCCAACAGAUUAUCUUGCUUAUUCAUAUUUCAAUUUUGAAGUUGUAUCUAAAAAAGGUUAACUGGAAGACGAGUUAGGUGCAAAAUAAGUUGAAUAAAUGGAGUGUGUCAUAUGAGAGUCUAGCAAAAUCUUUUUUCUCUAUUUAACUUUGUAUGUUGUACCUUUUUGUCUGAAUAGAUUGUUCCCAAUGAUAUGAAAAGGUACACUGCAGGAUGUUGCUCAUUUUAUUUAAGGUUGAGUAAAUAAACAUAUGGAAAGAUUUCACCUUUCUUUGUAUGAUUUGAAUUUUGCGUGCUUUGUGAUUCGACUUAUUUUUCAAUUCACAACCUGUUAAGUUUGUAUGCCGGUGUUUCUUCACUUCUUUAUUCAUUUGUUGCUCAUUAGGGAUUUUUGGUUUUGUUUGUGGACUUGCAAUUUAACUCUGUUUGUUUCUCAUGAUAACUUGUAGUUAUUGCUAUGUUGGAUUAAGCUUUUAUUAGAAGUUUAGGUUAUUUGAGUUGUCUCAUGGUUUUCUAUUUUUGCUAUAGUUGAUAUUAUUCCAAUAGUAUAUUAAAACUCUUCUCCCAUUUGGAUGGUAAGACAUGCUUUAUUUUUUUUGUUGUACUAUUUUUAGACCUAAACAAUUGAGGAGUUCAUGAAAAUUAUAACUGUCCCUUUGUUGUAAAGGUUGGAUAUGUGCAAGCGAAGUUGCAAAUGGCUUGCUUUAGAUCUUAGAGUUAGGCUGUUUUUUAGAGUUAUCUCAUCUGUUUCAUCUAGGGCUGUCAAAAUAAACCCGUUAAGGCCCAACCCGCCCAAACUUUUUUGGGUUGGGUACAAACUAAUUUUAAAUUGGGUCAGGUUUGAGCCCAUUAAACCUGACCCGUCAAAAAACAAUUCUCACCCAUUUCAACCUGUAAUAUACCCAUUUCAACCCGUAAUAUACCAACCAAAAUAAAAUCAACCAUCGACGACACAACUCCAAGACGCAAAUUUCUGAACCAGUGAACCCCAUCGCCGUCGACGGCACUCCUCGUUGUCGGAACACGUUUUCGACAGUUGGUCCUCUGUUCUUGAACUCCGAUUCAACGUUCUUCUUUAGUUGAUUACUCGAUUCAACUAAACUCUAUUGCUGAAGGAAUUUUGAGCUUUCAACUCACAUAAUCACUCAAAAACACUCAAAAUCACACACCACUUUGCUUAAUGGGAAAGUGCAUCAAGACGUGCCGACGAGAUGGAAUUCCACAUUCUUGAUGCUUGAUAGUUCUAUUCCUUAUCGUCGAGCAUUUUCUGAUUUUAAGGAAAUUAUUAUCUAUAUUUUCAUAAAGUUUGGAAAAUUCAUAUGAUGUUAAUUGAAGAGAAGUAUAGUGAAGAUCCUCAUAUUAAGGCAAUGGCAGAGGAAAUGACAAUUAAGUUCAAAAAGUAUUGGCAGGAAGACUAUAGUCCAAUUGCUUCAAUGGCGGUAGUUUUUGAUCCUCGGUACAAGUUAAAACUUGUAAGGUUUUGCUUUACCAAACUUGAUCCAGUCACUUGCAAUGAAAAGGUAAAAGUUGUUGAGUGUACUAUGCAUGCGUUAUUUAGAGAGUAUUUGAAAAAUUCAUCGGUUGAUGUUGAUAUGGUAGAAAGUAGUAGUGGUAGAGAUGAUGUUGAAGUGAUGGAUGAAAUGGAUGAGUAUGAUACUUUUGAAAGUCAAUCGGAACUUGGUUCAGAAAAGACAAUUAGAUUUCUACUUGGAAGAACCUGUGUUGGUUCGCAAAGGAAAUGAAGAUAUAAAUGUACUUAAGUUUUGGAAAGAUAAUUGGAUUAAGUAUCCGGAACUCUCACUGAUGGCAUGAGAUUUGCUAAGUAUUCCUAUUACCACUGUUACAUCUGAGUCUGCUUUCAGCAUUGGAGGUCGUGUUAUUGAUAAAUAUCAAAGCUCAAUUUUACCCGAAAAUGCAGAAGCAAAAUUGUGUUCGCGAGAUUGGAUCUAUGGUCAUCAAGUUUCUGCCGACUCUGAAGAGGAAGAUGACAUUGCAAUAGAUGUGAGUGAAGUUGCUGCUCAGAGAUUUAAUUAGCUUGGUGAAUGUGUGCAGCUCUUUGGUUUAAAGAAGGUGAACUUUGCUCAUGGACACCAGCUCAAGAACCUUGGUUGACGGUUGAGGAGAUGUCUCACAUCACUAGGAUUGGAAGGUUUCAGUUUCACUAAUCUGCAGGAGAUGAAUUAAUUCAAUUUUGCUGAUUCUUGCUGCCAAUAAAUUCAACUUCUGAUUGUUUUCGCUGCCGAGGGAAUUCUGAAUUGUUUAGCUCCAGCAAAAAAUAGAAUGAUGUGAAAAUCUUCUUUUGGAAUGUCUAGGGAUAAUAAGAUGCAUGGAUUAUGUUCAACAGGAUGCUUCAUAUUCUACACCUGUACUGAUGUUUUUUGAAACGUAGAAAUGAAAAGUAGUUGCUGCAGGAGCUAUU